rnacentral:rRNA from 1 species
GAAUAUUGGACAAUGGGGGCAACCCUGAUCCAGCCAUGCCGCGUGUGUGAAGAAGGCCUUCGGGUUGUAAAGCACUUUCAGUGAGGAGGAAGGGGUGUCGGUUAAUACCCGACAUCAUUGACGUUACUCACAGAAGAAGCACCGGCUACCUCCGUGCCAGCAGCCGCGGUAAGACGGAGGGUGCAAGCGUUAAUCGGAAUUACUGGGCGUAAAGCGCGCGUAGGUGGUUUGAUAAGCGAGAUGUGAAAGCCCCGGGCUUAACCUGGGAACGGCAUUUCGAACUGUCAGGCUAGAGUAUGGUAGAGGAGUGUGGAAUUUCCUGUGUAGCGGUGAAAUGCGUAGAUAUAGGAAGGAACACCAGUGGCGAAGGCGGCACUCUGGACCAAUACUGACACUGAGGUGCGAAAGCGUGGGGAGCAAACAGG